CUUCUGGGAAAUAAUCUUCCUUCUGUAGGGGCUCAUUUCCCACCACGGGCAGCAGAGAACAGGCUGGGGAAUAACACGCUAGCUGCAUGUCUCAGCUCUUUGUGAUGAUGGGAGGAGCGGGUCCAUCGCAGUGUCUCCCACUGAAGCAGUCCCAGCACUCGGCAGCUCCUGCUGCGUGCAUUAACCUUGGCGAUCAAUCUGCAACCAACUUUAAGAUCUGGGGUUAUGAUUCUGGGGCUGGCAGGAGAGAAGUACACAUUUCCUCUAACUUGUCUCUCUAAGGCUGGGAAGAAGGACAGAAGAAAAAAAAAAAAAAAAAAAAAAAGCAGAAUCUGGACCUUGGCUUUAAACUCUUGACUUCCAAAUUUCCUGAGUAAAAACCUUGCGCAAUUAACUUCUUUCAAGACGUUGGUUUGAACUAUAAAUACGUCCCAGGGGAAAUAAAAGGCUAGGCCAAGGCAGCACAAAUGCCACAGAGCACUAUUUUUUCUACGGUUAAUUGCAAACCCUUUGGUUACUGAUGCCCUUCUGAAUAUUUUUCCUCUCACCUUCAGAUAACUUAUUCCCUGCACCUCUCCUGAGGAACAAGUUAGGGUGCUGCCCGUGCUGGACUCCUUCAGAAUUUAAUGAAGACAUUUGGCCUCUUCCAAAGGACUUGACUUGAUCCUGAGUGCUGUGAAGGUGAUUAAUGAGACACACAGAAUUAGUGCGGUGCACAAUAAUGCAGAGCAUCCUUUCCUAUCAUCGUGCAAGAAAACACGAACUAGUUUCAGUAUUACUUAUA